rnacentral:rRNA from 1 species
GCCUAAUACAUGCAAGUCGAACGGUGAUAGUGAUAUCAUAGUGGCGCACGGGUGCGUAACACGUAUGGAACCUACCUUAUAGACGGGGAUAGCCUUUGGAAACGGAGAUUAAUACCCGAUGGUAUAUAUUGCUGGCAUCGGUGAUAUAUUAAAGAUUUAUUGCUAUAAGUUGGUCAUGCGUCCAAUUAGUUAGUUGGCGGGGUAACGGCUCACCAAGACGAUGAUUGGUAGGGGAACUGAGAGGUUAAUCCCCCACACUGGCACUGAGAUACGGGCCAGACUCCUACGGGAGGCAGCAGUAGGGAAUAUUGGGCAAUGGAGGCAACUCUGACCCAGCCAUGCCGCGUGCAGGAUGAAGGCGUUAUGCGUUGUAAACUGCUUUUAUGUAGGAAGAAAUAGACCUUGCGAGGUAAGUUGACGGUACUAUAUGAAUAAGCACCGGCUAACUCCGUGCCAGCAGCCGCGGUAAUACGGAGGGUGCAAGCGUUGUCCGGAUUUAUUGGGUUUAAAGGGUGCGUAGGCGGUUUAUUAAGUCAGUGGUGAAAGACGGUCGCUCAACGAUUGCAGUGCCAUUGAUACUGGUAGACUUGAGUGGGAUUGAGGUAGCUGGAAUGGAUAGUGUAGCGGUGAAAUGCAUAGAUAUUAUCCAGAACACCAAUUGCGUAGGCAAGUUACUAAGUCUCAACUGACGCUGAG